rnacentral:misc_RNA from 1 species
UUAUGAAUACCAUAGCAUGGUCGCUGCAUUAUAAAGCUUGGACUUCGUAUGUAUCAAGUAAUUUUGGUUUAAGCGAAACAACCCACUGUUCAAGGUGUGAAACAUGAACUAAAUGUUUUUAGUAUUUCUCGUUUGUUUCUUCAAGAAUUUUCAUCGCAAUACCAGUAUGGUUGAACUGUUACUGCUUUGAUUAUCUAUUUCUUGUUUUACUUCAGAUUGACGAUUGAAGGUCGUUUUGACUGGUGCUGAUAAUAAAAGAAGAAACGUUUAUAUGAUAAACGUUUUCAAAAGCUGCAAUCAUGACUGUGUCUGUGAUAGAUUGUUGGUCUGUUGUUGAUUUAUUGUUUCAAAUGUUGUGUUUUACAUCUUUUUUGAUAAUUAAAACCGGAUAAAACUUUG